rnacentral:misc_RNA from 1 species
UCUAAAUCAUCCCAUUUUAUAUAUGUCAAUCAGAUAAUGACUUCUUCUAAACUAGGGCAGGCAAAAAUUAAGAAAAUUCCCACAGCCUUACAAGUUACAAAAUCACGUUUCUUAUCAUCAAAUAAGAGCAUUUAGCAUAACAAAACAAGAAUUGUACAAGGGAACUCAACCCAAUUAAGCAUAAUCAUACUGUAAUCCAUAUACAAUCAAUUAGGAAUAAUCUGUAAUCCAUACACAGAUUUAAAGUGAAAUUAAUUACAAUCCAUAGAAAUUCCCUUUUCCUACUUUCCUAAUAAUCAAAUACAACCAAUAAUCUAAUUAGCAAUGUUAAAAUUGUACCUGAAGAGAGAGACAGAGAGAGCUAGUGACAUAGUGUAAGAUGAGCUGGAGCAAGGGCAAGAGACAGAGAGGCACCGAAGGAGAGAGAGAGAAAGAGGGUAGCAACAACGUGAGAGAGGGGUAUCAAUGGGAAGAUGGAAAGAAAGCGGAUAGUGACGAGAUGGAGAGAGGUAGAAACCUGGAGCAAGAGGCAGCAACCAGAGGUUUCUGCUUCUAUCAUGAGAAUUCCAUUGCGAGAACCGGAUUUGAAAUAACGAGUUCAGUCUAGUUAUUUUAAGCUUUCUUAUACAUUUGGGAUUUGGAUGAAUCCAAAUCCAUUUUCAUUUAACAUACCCAAACAAUCUAUCCAAACAUAGAAUAAGUUUGCAUGCCACAAUGAUGUACAAAGAAAUUAGGUUGUAUGUGCACCGUGGGUUCGUGAAGCCCAUAUACCAAAUACAAGAAACCAGAAGACGAAUAAGAUAGCCCAGUAUCGUGCAGGUCCAUAUUUGAUUCGAGUGAGCACAGUAAAGCGAAAGAAGAUCACAACUGUUAAAGCACAGACGCCUCCAAGGAGAAUGUGAAGACCACUUCUUGCAGUUUUCUUUCCAACAUGGGGAGCAAUGAGCCAUGCUAAAGUAACAGUCAGCAGCCCAGUAGCAAGCAAAAUUCCAGUACCUUCCACAGCCCAUUUGGUUGCAAGAUUCUCAGGAGGGACAAUAUCUUCAGUGACAGCAUUCAAAGGUUGUUCAGAAACAACCUGUGAAACUGCAUUAGAAUUAUUGUGAUCACUGUUACCAAGUGGACUAAACCACAUUGAAAUCUCACUUAGCCGUUGCCUUCUGAUAGCAGCAACAGCAUCAGGAUCUACACCUAAACUCGCAUGAACCUGGGUAGGAUUGGGAUCCCCAGUGGUAGUCCUUUCCCUUAAUGCUUCAUAGUCCUUUAAAGAAACCAAAACCUUUUUGAAGUCCACCAUCCUGAUAUUUUUUGCAACACAUCCACAUAUUUCACAAACAGUAGAUCCAUGAUUAACAAACCAUUUGAGUGCACAAGCAUAGUGUACUAGAGCAAGUUCAUUUUUGCAAGAGCAACCAAGUUCAAUUAAUGAGUCUUGUUGAUGACAUGAACCCAUUUCCAAAUCUGUACUACAAAUGAAAACCUCCCCCUCAGGGCUAACAAACUGAAUUAAUCCAAAUUCUCUUCCCGCAUUUUUGCUAUGGAAAUCAUUGGUUUCACAGUGUAUUGACACUUCUUCGCUUUGAAGCUUUAUUGCUCCACUACUUUUACAAGACUCUUGCAAUGGGCUAAUGAUGCCCAAAAAUCCCAAUACAGCAUCUCCCCUUUUAUCAGAUUCAGUACAUUGGCACACACGACAAGUUGCUGAACCUGUCUCUUUGUCUAGACUGUAACGUGAAUGAGCCCCCGAGUCUUCACUCUUAGUAGGUGAGUGGCUUGCACCACCAACUCCACAAUUGAUGGAUUGUGAUAAAUUAUCCUUAGCCAUCACAGCAUGUUGAAGUUAUACAUUCAACAUUUUUGCACUAAACAGAACUAAAAUUUCCAAGUGCAGAAAAGAAAAACUUUCUUUACCUAUCCCAGAAGAUUCCCCUUUAACAUCACUCUAUCAUUGGAACUCUCUUGGCAGCGGCUUGAAAGGAGACUAGAGCUUGAGAUGGAUCUACAAUACAAUUUAAGAGGUAUAAAAACAGCGCUAAUGCUAAAGCAGCUUAGGUGAAUUGUUGGAGUGGACGUCAAGUUGAGCAUGAGAU